AGGACGAACGCUGGCGGCGUGCUUAACACAUGCAAGUCGAGCGGUAAGGCCUUUCGGGGUACACGAGCGGCGAACGGGUGAGUAACACGUGGGUGAUCUGCCCUGCACUCUGGGAUAAGCCUGGGAAACUGGGUCUAAUACCGGAUAUGACCUGCUCUCGCAUGGGGGUGGGCGGAAAGAUUUAUCGGUGCAGGAUGGGCCCGCGGCCUAUCAGCUUGUUGGUGGGGUAAUGGCCUACCAAGGCGACGACGGGUAGCCGACCUGAGAGGGUGACCGGCACACUGGGACUGAGACACGGCCCAGACCUCCUACGGGGAGGCCAGGCCAGGUGGGGAAUAGUUGACACAAGUGGGACGAAAGCCUGAUGCAGCGACGCCGCGUGAGGA
rnacentral:rRNA from 1 species